rnacentral:rRNA from 1 species
UACGAAGGGGGCUAGCGUUGUUCGGAAUCACUGGGCGUAAAGGGCGCGUAGGCGGCUUUUCAAGUCGGGGGUGAAAGCCUGUGGCUCAACCACAGAAUUGCCUUCGAUACUGUUAGGCUUGAGACCGGAAGAGGUGAGUGGAACUGCGAGUGUAGAGGUGAAAUUCGUAGAUAUUCGCAAGAACACCAGUGGCGAAGGCGGACUCACUGGCCCGGUACUGACGCUGAGGUGCGAAAGCGUGGGGAGCAAACAGG